GAUGAACGCUAGCGGCAGGCUUAACACAUGCAAGUCGAGGGGCAGCACGGGUAGCAAUACCUGGUGGCGACCGGCGCAAGGGUGCGUAACGCGUGAGCAACAUGCCCUAUACAGGGGGAUAAUCCAGGGAAACUUGGUCUAAUAUCCCAUAGUAUUUAGAGGAGGCAUCUUCUAUAAAUUAAAGCUUCGGUGGUAUAGGAUUGGCUCGCGUGACAUUAGCUAGAUGGUGAGGUAACGGCUCACCAUGGCAAUGAUGUCUAGGGGUUCUGAGAGGAAGGCCCCCCACACUGGGACUGAGACACGGCCCAGACUCCUACGGGAGGCAGCAGUGAGGAAUAUUGGACAAUGGAUGGAAAUCUGAUCCAGCCAUGCCGCGUGCAGGAAGACAGCCCUAUGGGUUGUAAACUGCUUUUAUAUGGGAGCAAUAAGGUCUACGUGUAGACUGAUGAGAGUACCAUAUGAAUAAGCAUCGGCUAACUCCGUG
rnacentral:rRNA from 1 species